AAAGCUUUAAGUUAAAUAAUUUAAACUAUUAACCUUCAAAGUUAAAAAUAUAUAAAAUAUAAGCUUUA
rnacentral:tRNA from 1 species